AACGUAGGACGCAAGCGUUACCCGGAGUUACUGGGCGUAAAGCGCGGGCAGGCGGUUCGUUAAGUCUGAUGUGAAAUCACUAGGCUCAACCUAGCGAGGCCAUUGGAAACUAACGAACUGGAGGGCGAUAGAGGGUAGGCGGAAUUCCGGGUGGAGUGGUGAAAUGCGUAGAGAUCCGGAGGAACACCAGUGGCGAAGGCGGCGAUCUGGGAAGAUACUGACGCUGAGGUGCGAAAGCGUGGGGAGCAAACAGG
rnacentral:rRNA from 1 species